AACGAACGCUGGCGGCGCGCCUAAUACAUGCAAGUCGAGCGAGAAGACGUAGCAAUACGUUUGUAAAGCGGCGAACGGGUGAGGAAUACAUGGGUAACCUACCCUCGAGUGGGGAAUAACUAGCCGAAAGGUUAGCUAAUACCGCGUACGCUCCUUGGACUUCGGUUCAGGGAGGAAAGCGAUACCGUGGGUAUCGCGCUCUUGGAUGGGCUCAUGUCCUAUCAGCUUGUUGGUGAGGUAACGGCUCACCAAGGCUUCGACGGGUAGCUGGUCUGAGAGGACAAUCAGCCACACUGGCACUGCGACACGGGCCAGACUCCUACGGGAGGCAGCAGUAAGGAAUAUUGCGC
rnacentral:rRNA from 1 species